CAGUAGCCGCGGUAAUACAGAGGGUGCGAGCGUUAAUCGGAUUUACUGGGCGUAAAGCGUGCGUAGGCGGCUAAUUGAGUCGGAUGUGAAAUCCCCGAGCUUAACUUGGGAAUUGCAUUCGAUACUGGUUAGCUAGAGUGUGGGGGAGGAUGGUAGAAUUCCAGGUGUAGCGGUGAAAUGCGUAGAGAUCUGGAGGAAUACCGAUGGCGAAGGCAGCCAUCUGGCCUAACACUGACGCUGAGGUACGAAAGCAUGGGGAGCAAACAGGAUUAGAUACCCCAGUAGUCCCUGUCUCUUAUAA
rnacentral:rRNA from 1 species